rnacentral:lncRNA from 1 species
CAUUUUCAUUUUGUUUAGAGAAAAAAGAAGUUGAACAUCUUCCUAUUUUCCUAAAUCGAGUUGCCCAAACUGAAUUGUUUCAAACGAAUGAUUAGUAUUUUCAAAAACAAUUUUGCACCUGAUACUUUAGUCGUUAGCACUUGUACCUAAAUCACUUUGAUGCACCUUGUACUUUGGUUGCUUAUUACUCACAAGUUACAAUUAAAAAAAAAAAUUUUGAUUUAUUUCAGUUUUCAUUUUUGAUUUUGUUGAUUAUGUUUACCCCGUUUUUUUAGCUUAUUUAUAAAAUCAUCGAGUAUAAGUUAUAAUGUAAUUGAGUAUUAUUUAUAAUUUAAUCGAGCUUUAUUUAUAAUGUAAUCGGGUUUUAUUUGUACCUUAUUUCAUUUUUAUUUAACAAAAAGAAAUAAACUUUUUACCA